rnacentral:rRNA from 1 species
CGGCAACAGCUCAAAUUUGAAAUCUGGCCCCCUCGGGGCCCGAGUUGUAAUUUGUAGAGGGUGCUUUGGCGUUGGCACCGGCCUAAGUUCCUUGGAACAGGACGUCACAGAGGGUGAGAAUCCCGUACGUGGCCGGCCGCCUCCGCCGUGUAAAGCCCCUUCGAC